AAUAAUCUGAUCCAAUUUAUAUAAUCCAUUUAUUAAACAUGUUAAGUCAUGUUAAAUAGAUUAAACGAGUCAAAUUAUGAUCUGAUCUAAUUAUUAAAUGGAUUAAAAUUAGUUAAAUGGUCAAAGAUCUAAACCUAAAGUCAACCCAUUUAAUAAAUUUAUCUAAAUGGGUUGACCGUUUAUGAUGCAAAUUCAUUUAUGUCUAAUCUAAUUCUACUUAAAGUGGGUUGUUCGUGCCUU
rnacentral:lncRNA from 1 species